rnacentral:lncRNA from 1 species
GAUAUUAUAAUUUUUUUAAAAAAAUAUUUUUAUUAUUCAAAAUUUUAAAUAAAAAAAUGAAACAUGGAGCGAUACAUUUUUUCUAUGCCACAUGCAAUGUAUAAAGAAAUACUCUAUAAUUAUUUAAAAUUUUAAAUAAAAAAAAUGAAAUAUAGAAUGAUAUAUUUUUUCUACGCUACAUGCAGUGUAUAAAAAAUUACUCUAUAGAUGGAUGCUUACUCUAGGGUCAAGAUGGAUGCUUGUCAAAUUCUGCAUCCGCGUGGCAAACUAAUGCUAGGUCACAUACUGAUCACGUCAGGUAAAAUACUGGAUAC